rnacentral:lncRNA from 1 species
UAUAAAACAAAAGAAAAAAAAAAGAGAAGAAGGGAAGAAACAGAAUAGUAGAAACGAAACAGAGAGGGAAGGAAAGAAAGAAAGAAAAGAAAGAAAAAAAGCGAAAAUAUAAGGUUUGAAGCUUGAAGUUUAAUUUGCUAACGUUGUCUCGAGAAGUUUCGGCUAAGCAAGGAAAUAGCAAAGUCGACGAGGAAAAGCUUGAAAAAGCUCGAAAAAUACGGUUUGUAUUUCUAUAAUCUGAACUCAGUCAUUAUUUGUUAUAUUUAUAUACAGAUGACAAUUGUUAGUGUUAGAAUUAUGAUAUUUUACAAUUGAAAUGGAUUGAUUUUGGUAUGUGAUGAAUUUAUCAAAUUUAUAUUGAUUGAAAUAAUUUUGAUUGAAUUUAUAUUGAUUGAAAUAUAAUAUAUAUAUAUAUAUAUAUAUAUGAUUUAUGUAAAAAUUUGAAUAUUGAAUGAAUGUCAUAUUGAAAAAAAAUUAUAUUGAUUGGAAUAUGAUGGAAUUGAUAUGAAUAUAUGAGAUUUGUGAUAAUUGAAUAUUUGAUAUUGAAAAGUAAAUUGAGUUGUAUUGAAUUAUGAAUUAAUGUGAAUAAUUGAAAUAUAUUUGUUGAAUUGAAUGAAAAUAUAUGAAAUUAUGAAAAUGUGUGAAUAUAUGUGAUUAUUAGAAUGGUAUAUUGAUGAAAGAUUUAUUAAAUUGAGAAAGUGAAUCAAAUACCCUAUUAACAGUAUCGGACCAGAUUGGAUACAAAUGGCAUGCCAUUGGAUUUGUGAUGUGAUGGGGAGAUUUGUAGUUCGGCCGAGAAGAUGUUUCUGUUAUUAUAUACUUCGGUUUAUCCGAAGAGGCAUUUAAUGCCUUAUUGGUGUGUUUGGGAGGAUAUGAUAUACUGGUGUGUUAUGGAGGAUUUAUAAUAUUCUGGGUGUGUUUGGGUUGGAUAUUUUGGUGUGUUUGGGAGGAAUCCGCGUAUCUAUCAGAGUCCGAGUCUUGUUAAUAGGGGUAAAUAAGUGAAAAGAUAAAUCGAGUGAAUUUGAUUGAUUGAGCUAUUAGAAUGAAAUGAGAAAUUGAAUUGAGAAUUGAAAUUGAGAUAUGAGAUAUGAGAUUGAAAAUAUGAACCAAAAGGUUCAUGAAAUGAGUGAAGUUCAAAUGGAUGAUGAUUGAUGUUAGAAUGAAUUAAAAUGGUAUAUUGUUAAUAAGUAAAGUGUGAAUACAAGUGAAUUGUGAAUAUAUUGUAUAGAAUUUAUACGGUAAGUAAAUGAAAUUCAUCUAUAAAAUAAAUAAAUGAAUACUUAUAAUUGUUAUUGUGAUUUUAAGUUUAAUUGUUAUGUUAUUAAGUGUUCGGAUUAUGGAAAUACUACUGAGUAUACCAUACUCAGCGUACGGUUUGUUUCCGUGCACAGGUUAAGUAAAGAUAGAAUGUUGAAUCAGCAUCCCAGGCCGAUCCCAAAUUCAAUGAGGUAAAGUGUGUUAAUUAUGGGUAAUGGCAUGUACCUAGGAUGCCUUAUGUGUGUGUCAUUUUGAAAUUGUAAAUGUAAGGAUGAAAUAAAUAAAUUUAAGGUUUGGUUAUGGUAUAAAAUAGGAUUUGAAUAAUUUGGUAUGAAUUUGAAUUUUUAUGAGACAAUGUCAGAUUAAUUUUGGAAUUCCCUAUUCUGAAUUGGGAAAAUCAUUAAAAAUUGUAUAAAAAUAAUUAUGGGCUAUAAUUUAUAUUCUUAGAAUCCUUAAUGAGUCUAUUUUCAAGAUAAAUAAACGGGAACAUCACCCGAGUCCUGUGCUAUGAGAUAAUUAAAUUUUAGUAAAGAAAGGUCGAAGCUGUCAAAUAGCAGACCAGGGGUAACUUUGAGGAAUAAACUGUACUAAUUGGCUAAGCCAAAAAUUCUGAAAUUUUUAUGGUAGAAAGGUAUAUGAGUCUAGUUUCAAGGAAAAUUAACGGAACUUAAUUUGGAGCUUCGUAGCUCUAGAUAUAAAUAUUUUAGUGACUAUUGCUUAAGAAGACAGCUUUGACAUGAACAUAAGAAAAUAAUGGAAUUGUGUGUAAUUAUUCUGUAAACUCCGGUAAUGCUCCAUAACUCUCUUCUGGUGAUGGUUUAGGGUUAGGGAGUGUUACAUGGGGUUUGGGUGUUAGGGUUUACAGGUUAGAGUUUUAAGGGUUUAUGAUUUGAGAUUUAAGGUUUAGGGUGUUGGGAUUAAGGUUUAUCGUUUUUAGUCUUAAGGGUUUAUGAUUUGAGAUUUAAGGUCUCGUGUUUAAAGAGUAAUUAAUUAAUGUUUAUAGUUUUAAGGGUUUAUGAUUAGAGAUUUAGGGUCUGGCGGUUAAAGGGUUAUUGAUUUAAGAGGUUAGGGGUUAGUGUUUAAAGAAAGCCAUAACAUUGAUUUUAACAGCUUCGUAACUUAAUUAAAUGAAAACUUCUAAUUAAAUAGUUUAGUUAUCAAAGUGUAACUUUUCAUGAUUAAGUAACUAAAAUGAAAUUAACUUUCUCAUGGCUAAGUGAAUAGUGUAGUUAAUUUAUAUUGUUUAUAAAGUCGGUUUUAGAUAUGAUCAAAAUAAAAUCGAAUUCAAAAUAAAAAUAAGACCUUAUUUAAUUUGUUAUAAUUUGGUCUUAUCCAAAAUAGAUAAUUACCUAUCCAUAUCAAUCUGUUACUUUUUUUAUUAUUUAUUUUUCAAUAAAUAAUUUGUUAUAAUUUUAAAAUAUUAAUAUUAAUAUUAUCUUUUUUGUAAUUAUAUAAGAGAUUAUUUAAUAUAUAAAUUAAAAAACACUAAUUAAUUUAAACCCUAAACCCAUUAACUAUAGUCUCCAAAUCCCUAAAUCAUAAAACAUAGACCAUCAACCUUAAAUCCCAACCCUUAAACCAAUAAUCCAUAAACCUUAAAAUAGUUUAGAUCUAUAGUGGCGUUUUUAAAAAAGCGCCGUUAAAACUCAAGCUAUUGCAGCGUUUUCCACAAAGCGCCGCUAAUGCCACUGAAGUAAAAUGGCAUGGUUUUGCUUAAUAUUUUUGAGGCGUUUUUAAGAAAGCGCCGCUAAUGCUCGAUCUUUAGCGGCGCUUUCUUAAAAACGCCGCUAACUCGAUCUUUAGCGGCACUUUCUUAAAAACGCCGCUAAUGCUCGAUCUUUAGUGGCGCUUUCUUAAAAACGCCGCUAAUACUCAAUCUAUUCGAUUUUUAGUGGCGUUUUCUAUUCAAACGCCGCUAAAACCGCCGCUAAAAACCUGUUUUGCAGUAGUGUUUAUACUUACUUGUGCAUUAUUUUCUAGUUCUUUUACAUGGUAAACAUAUUCACAUUUAAACAUAUAUCACAAUACUCAAACAUCUUUAUAGAUAAAUUGACACUUGAGUUAUGAAACGUAAAAGUGAGCUCUAUCAUCACUCAUCAAAUACACGGAUCUCCAACACAUCACAUAGACUCAUAGAGUCAAUCAUGUCCCAAAAGUGAAGUAUAAAGCUAUCACUCUCCAACACACCAAACAUGUCCCAUUGAAUGGAACAUAUCUUACAUUCCUUUAUCUCUCCAACAUGUCUCAAGGCCUCAACGCCCAAAUCACAAAACACAUAUAGAUGAGUACUCAUAAUCCUUUGGCAUGCCAACUAUAUCCAACGAUCUCAUAAGGUCAUAAGGCCAAAAUAUCCACAAUUACACAAUUUUAAUUACUGAUUUAAUGCACAUCAUCUCUGUUCAUAUUUAUCAAUUCACAUCACAACUUGUAUACAAUGCAUGCUUGUCAGAUUCACAUUUAAUUGCAUUUAAAGUGCCACAAUAAAGCUCAUUGAGCCAUCACGUAUCCAACCAUAUAUGAGUGUAUUAAAAUUAGUUUAUCACAUUCAUAACCUGUUACAUUAGCAUCACAUUUCAUAAUUCAACACAUACGUACUUACAGGUUUCCACACACUUUCAUUACAUAUUUAUUUUGUUAAAACAACAUCAUCACUAUUAUUCGACAUAUUUAACAUGCCCACAACACAAUACAAUUCACAAUAGUCAUCACACAUGUCUCAUAUCACAAUAUCACAUCAUAAUAAUCAAUCCAUAAAUAUUAUCAUAAUCACAUAAAUAACCAAAAAUAAAACAAGAGAAAUAGAAAGCUUACACUCGGAAUUUAGAGUAGGGACUUAUGCUACAACUAAAUUCUCAAAUAAUGCUUUGAAUCAUAUCUACAAGAAAUUAUUCCAAACACUCACCAAUUAUGCUUUCGCCGAAAAAGUUGAAAGCUCAAACUAGUUAUUCCUUGCCUUUAUCUCUACUCGUAGAAGGUUUUACCUAUUCCAACGCUUCAACAAAGUAAAUCACACAACAACACAAUCAACAUUAGCUAAAGACUCACUUAAACCAACCAAAAUGCAAGUUUAAGCUAUAUUCCUCAUGAAAUUGAUAUUUCGACUAACAAACUUGAAACUCACAAGCUUAAUUAAAAUUAUUUAGGAUUUGAAUCGUUACCUUAGACGACAAAAAAUCGAGCGUUUGAUCUAAAACCUGAAAAACUUACAAGCUUGACAAUGGAGAAAACUAUGGUAUUUUUAAGAGUUUUUCUUGGUAUUUAAUGGAGGUUUAAGGCUUGAAUGUUGAUGGAAAUCAUGAGAAUAUGAUUUGGGAAUCAAAUUUGAAGAGUUGGAACUUUGGGAGAGUUGUGAGAACAAAGGGACGACACAAACAAUUGAUGGAGAAGAAUAACGUAAAAAUAGAUCUAGUUUGAGGAAGAUAUAUGGUGAAUUUUAAAAUUUGAUUAAAUUCUUUAUAAAACUCAAACUUUUGACCUUUUUACAAAUAAAUACACUCUUGAAAAUUAAAGGUAUUUAGAACUCAUUUUCAAAAAUUGAUUUAAUUUUCUAAAAAUUAUAGUUGAAAACAUUUACGAUGUACCAUGUCACAAAAUUCUGAACACUUUAAGGCUAAAAUUUCCAUUUUACCCUAAAAACUCCUAGACCCUAUUUUGGGGUGUUACAAGGGACAAAUUCUAUCUUGAUCAAUCAUAUCCCACUACAUAGAUUAUGGCAUACCCAACAUUAGCCUUUAUAGUAUAACCUGUUAUGGUAGACGUUUGAUUAUGUCAAAAUAUACAACUCACUAUGUUGGGAUAAUGAUGAUCUCAAGUCCGAGGAUAAUAUACAUAGUUAUCACUAUGAGCAAUGUUGUGACUAUUAUAUAGUAAUCUUAGAACCAUACUCAUAGCGAGUCAAUCCAGUAUGUUGGUUUUUAACACAUACUCAUGUAUCGAUUUUGACAUCCAUAUGUCAAUGACAACACUUUGUCAUCAAUCAACUACACAUUAGUCUCAAUGCAUUGUCAUUGUCCAAACCCACAAUAAUACUUAACUAAGGACCUUUAUAAGAAUAAUCAUAUUAUUAUCAGGACUUUAUUAUUAACCAGUUUAUUUAUAUACACAGAAAAAGAAGCUGAAAUAACAAUGGUAAUGCCUUAUAUUAACAAACAAGGUAAAACGAGUAUGUGAUUAUAGUCAUCUCUAUAGUAAUCACUGAAAGAGAAGUUUUGACCGCUAGAUGAAAACGUAGGAUUGAAACAGGGACUUUUUCUAAUAGACAUUCUAACUAACUAGACUAGAGAGACACUAUUGGACUUAAAAAUUUACUUGGGGAAUUUUAUCAAACAGUGCCAUAUCAAACAGUGCAGUCUUAAUCUCUUCAUUUAAAAUUGCUUUUCCCAAGAAAAGUUCAUUAUUAAGAUCAAGUUUAAGAAAAGAAUCAGAAAGAAAAAAAGUUAUGCUAUCCGAUAAUUCAAUAUACAACUUCUGGAAGAACUUAAUUGCCUCAGCCUGGAGAUCCUUAUCUUCAAACAACCAAUCACCAGUAUCAUUCUUUAAGGCUGAGAUCAUGUUGUGCUUCUUUCUCUGAAUCGUACGGGAAUGAAAGAACUUAGUAUUUUCCCUAAAAUGCAGCCAGUCACAUCUUGCUUUCUGCUUCCAAAGUAGCUCUUCAUGGUGAAACACAUCUUCCAAAUCCUCCUAAAGCUGUAAUUAUAAAAGACUUAAGUAACCAGAAUCUGAUUCUUCUAAGGCCCUUUGGAUACUCGCCAAUUUUUGCAUCAAUUUCGUUUUACAGGCCUCUAAACGAUCAUAAACUAAAUAAUUCCAGUCUUUAAUAUUGUAGGUAAAAUGAUACAGAGAUUCAACUAUGUUCCUCUGGAAGCACCACUUUUCCUUAACAAAAAUCGAGAAAUUAAGAUCUCCACCCGACCUGCCAAAAAUCUAAAGGGGCGUC